rnacentral:rRNA from 1 species
CUCUGUGACUCCUACGGGAGGCAGCAGUGGGGAAUAUUGCACAAUGGGCGCAAGCCUGAUGCAGCCAUGCCGCGUGUAUGAAGAAGGCCUUCGGGUUGUAAAGUACUUUCAGCAGUGAGGAAGGUGGGUAUGUUAAUAGCAUAUUCAUUUGACGUUAGCUGCAGAAGAAGCACCGGCUAACUCCGUGCCAGCAGCCGCGGUAAUACGGAGGGUGCGAGCGUUAAUCGGAAUUACUGGGCGUAAAGCGCAUGCAGGUGGUUUGUUAAGUCAGAUGUGAAAGCCCCGGGGCUCAACCUCGGAAUUGCAUUUGAAACUGACAAACUAGAGUACUGUAGAGGGGGUAGAAUUUCAGGUGUAGCGGUGAAAUGCGUAGAGAUCUGAAGGAAUACCGGUGGCGAAGGCGGCCCCCUGGACAGAUACUGACACUCAGAUGCGAAAGCGUGGGGAGCAAACAGGAUUAGAUACCCUUGUAG